rnacentral:rRNA from 1 species
GAGUUUUGGCUCAGAUUGAACGCUGGCGGCAUGCCUUACACAUGCAAGUCGAACGGCAGCACGGAGCUUGCUCCUGGUGGCGAGUGGCGAACGGGUGAGUAAUGCAUCGGAACGUAUCCUGGAGUGGGGGAUAACGUAGCGAAAGUUACGCUAAUACCGCAUAUUCUGUGAGCAGGAAAGCGGGGGACCUUCGGGCCUCGCGCUCUUGGAGCGGCCGAUGUCGGAUUAGCUAGUUGGUGAGGUAAAGGCUCACCAAGGCGACGAUCCGUAGCAGGUCUGAGAGGAUGAUCUGCCACACUGGAACUGAGACACGGUCCAGACUCCGUACGGGAGGCAGCAGUGGGGAAUUUUGGACAAUGGGGGCAACCCUGAUCCAGCCAUGCCGCGUGAGUGAAGAAGGCC